UGAGGAAUUUUCCGCAAUGGGCGCAAGCCUGACGGAGCAACGCCGCGUGCAGGAAGACGGCCUUCGGGUUGUAAACUGCUUUUCGCAAGGACGAGCAAGGACGGUACUUGCGGAAUCAGCCCCGGCUAACUACGUGCCAGCAGCCGCGGUAAUACGUAGGGGGCAAGCGUUGUCCGGAGUUACUGGGCGUAAAGCGCACGCAGGCGGUCGUGCACGUUUGGGGUGACAGCUUCCGGCUUAACUGGAAGAGGACCUCGAAGACGGCGCGACUUGAGGGGUUCAGAGGGACCGAGAAUUCCGGGUGGAGUGGUGAAAUGCGUAGAUAUCCGGAGGAAUACCCAAGGCGAAGGCAUGGUCCUGGGAACCACCUGACGCUCAGGUGCGAAAGCGAGGGGAGCGAACGGGAUUAGAUACCCCCGUAGUCC
rnacentral:rRNA from 1 species